AUUGAACGCUGGCGGCAGGCCUAACACAUGCAAGUCGAGCGAUCGGCGGACGCGUGAGUGAUAUGUGGAAACCUGCCUGAUGGAGGGGGAGAACUACUGUAAACGAUAGCUAAUACCGCAUACCAUCAGAAGUGCCCAGAUGAGAGUAGCGAGGGGGUGGGGUAACGGCUCACCUAGGCGACGAUCCCUAGCUGGUCGGAGAGGAUGACCAGCCACAUUGGAACUGAGACACGGUCCAGACGCCUACGGGAGGCAGCAGUGGGGAAUAUUGCACAAUGGGCGCAAGCCUGAUGCAGCCAUGCCGCGUGUGUGAAGAAGGCCUUCGGGUUGUAAAGUACUUUCAGCGGGGAGGCGUUACCCGCAGAAGAAGCACCGGCUAACUCCGUGCCAGCAGCCGCGGUAAUAC
rnacentral:rRNA from 1 species